rnacentral:rRNA from 1 species
UACAGAGGUCCCGAGCGUUGUUCGGAUUCACUGGGCGUAAAGGGUGCGUAGGUGGUGGGGUAAGUCGGAUGUGAAAGCUCGGAGCUCAACUCCGAAAUGGCAUUGGAAACUACCCUGCUGGAGGUUUGGAGGGGGGAGCUGGAAUGACUUGGUGUAGCAGUGAAAUGCGUAGAUAUCAAGUGGAACACCAGUGGCGAAGGCGAGUCCCUGGACAAAACCUGACACUGAGGCACGAAAGCUAGGGGAGCAAACAGG